AGAACGAACGCUGGCGGCAUGCCUAACACAUGCAAGUCGAACGCUCUUGGGGCUUCGGUCUCAGGGGAGUGGCGCACGGGUGAGUAGCGCGUGGGAACCUGCCCUGUUGUGGGGGAUAACCGAGGGAAACUUCGGCUAAUACCGCAUAAGCCGGUUGUCUUGAAGGAGAUGGCCGGGAAAGAUUUAUCGCGACAGGAGGGGCCCGCGUCGGAUUAGCUAGUUGGUGGGUAACGGCCCACCAAGGCGGUGAUCCGUAGCUGGUCUGAGAGGAUGAUCAGCCACACUGGGACUGAGACACGGCCCAGACUCCUACGGGAGGCAGCAGUGGGGAAUAUUGGACAAUGGGCGCAAGCCUGAUCCAGCAAUGCCGCGUGAGUGAUGAAGGCCUUAGGGUUGUAAAGCUCUUUCGCCCGCGACGAUGAUGACGGUAGCGGGAGAAGAAGCCCGGCUAACUUCGUGCCAGCAGCCGC
rnacentral:rRNA from 1 species